rnacentral:other from 1 species
GAGUCUCUGCUAUGCUCGUGAUGGCCUAGUACUUAUUUGAGCCAUUACCAUUAUGCUAGGGAGCUCGAGUCUUUUCAUGGUGUGCAUGCCCCCAGGCCGUCGGCCUAUAGGGGGAAGCCUAAAGUGGAAAGUAGGGCACCCACCUGUAACCCAGGUUCAAAUAGCAUGUGCCACACGGCAAUGCGGAGGCUUU